rnacentral:rRNA from 1 species
GUCCACGCUGUAAACGAUGAUUACUCGGUGCUAGCGACAUACAGUUAGUGCCUAAGCGAAAGCGAUAAGUAAUCCACCUGGGGAGUACGGUCGCAAGAUUGAAACUCAAAGGAAUUGACGGGGGCCCGCACAAGCGGUGGAGCAUGUGGUUUAAUUCGAUGAUACGCGAGGAACCUUACCUGGGCUUAAAUGUAGAUUGACAGUUCUGGAAACAGUUCUUUCUUCGGACAGUCUACAAGGUGC